UUUGAUUUCUCUAUCAAUAUCAAAGUUGGUUGUUAGUUUUAUUUUCUUAUCUUCAUGAUAACAUCUCAAUUUUUAUGAUUUACAAUUGAUUAAAUAAAAUAUUAUAAGAUUAAUAAAAAACAGAUUAUUUCAAAAUAUAUAUAAUAUUAAUAUAAUUAUCUAAAAAAUGUAAUAAUAAAACAUAUCUAAAACAACUAAAGAAAAAACAUAAGAAAAACAAAAAGAAAAAAAAAAAAGAAACACCUAUCCAUUGCUUGCUCAUACCAAUAAGGUGACUAUUAAAAAAAAACAAAAACAUAAGAAAAACAAAAAAAAAACAACAAUAUAAGUUAAUGUGCAAAAAAGUUUUCAUAAAACAAACAUAGAAAUAUUAUUAUACAUCACUUGUUUAUACAAAGAAUCAUAUCACAUAUAAAGACUCGUUCUAGACUGGAUUAUUUGAACAAAAUCAUUGAUGUGAAAUUUCGGGGCGUCUUGCACUUAUGGUGACCUCUACUGCUCUACAGUUAAUGGGUUUCGUCUUACCACACACAAGGCUAGUCCAUUAUCAUUUUUGGCUAAAGUAAAACCCCUAAAUUAGGACCUCAUAUACCUCUCACCACAUACCAUAUUCUACCCUACUUGAGCUUGAGUGAUUAUUCGAACAACAAGAUAACCUCUAACAUUUAGACUCCCGCAUUAAUGCGUAUGCUAAAGAAAUGACACCAUAGCAUCUCCCCCAUGAUAACUAGAAUUAUGUCAAGCAC
rnacentral:lncRNA from 1 species